CCGACCUUAGCUCAGUUGGUAGAGCGGAGGACUGUAGUGGGCAAACCCAAAGUAAUCCUUAGGUCGCUGGUUCGAUUCCGGCAGGUCGGA
rnacentral:tRNA from 1 species